AACGAACGCUGGCGGCAUGCCUAACACAUGCAAGUCGAACGAGACCUUCGGGUCUAGUGGCGCACGGGUGCGUCACGCGUGGGAACCUGCCCUUAGGUUCGGAAUAACUCCCCGAAAGGGGUGCUAAUACCGGAUAAUGUCUUCGGACCAAUGAUUUAUCGCCUUUGGAUGGGCCCGCGUUGGAUUAGCUAGUUGGUAGGGUAAACGCCUACCAAGGCGACGAUCCAUAGCUGGUCUGAGAGGAUGAUCAGCCACACUGGGACUGAGACACGGCCCAGACUCCUACGGGAGGCAGCAGUGGGGAAUAUUGGACAAUGGGCGAAAGCCUGAUCCAGCAAUGCCGCGUGAAUGAUGAAGGCCUUAGGGUUGUAAAGCUCUUUUACCCGGGAUGAUAAUGACAGUACCGGGAGAAUAAGCUCCGGCUAACUCCGUG
rnacentral:rRNA from 1 species